rnacentral:rRNA from 1 species
AUUGAACGCUGGCGGCAGGCUUAACACAUGCAAGUCGAACGAGUGGCGGACGGGUGAGUAAUGCUUGGGAAUCUGGCUUAUGGAGGGGGAUAACGACGGGAAACUGUCGCUAAUACCGCGUACCAUAGGAUGAGCCCAAGUGGGAUUAGCUAGUAGGUGGGGUAAAGGCUCACCUAGGCGACGAUCUCUAGCUGGUCUGAGAGGAUGAUCAGCCACACUGGGAAUGAGACACGGCCCAGACUCCUACGGGAGGCAGCAGUGGGGAAUAUUGCACAAUGGGCGCAAGCCUGAUGCAGCCAUGCCGCGUGUAUGAAGAAGGCCUUAGGGUUGUAAAGUACUUUCAGCGGGGAGGCGUUACCCGCAGAAGAAGCACCGGCUAACUCCGUGCCAGCAGCCGCGGUAAUAC